UUCCAAGAUUCCAACAACAGGAUUGAUACCCUGGCUGUGGAAGCACCACUGGAGCGUGUUUAUAUGUAUUUGGUGCUGGCACCGCAAGAGGAGGCUAUUGCAGGUGCUGAUGGGAAGGCUGCUGCAGGUACUGAGGGAGUGCAGUAGGGCCAUGCUGGAACACUUGUUGUGAGUGAGCAGUUGGAGCGUAUUUGUACGCUCGCAGCGCAGGAACAGCCUGAGCUGCUGAGUGAAGGUUCUGAAGCACUGCCUGUUGCGCCUGGAGCUGGUACGCCAGCUGUUGCACCUGGGGCUGUUUCGACUGGGGCUGGUACACUGGCGCUGGAGCCUUGGGCUGGUUAGCUAGCUGUGGAGUCAAGGGCUUGUAGACCGGCUCUGGAGCCCGGGUCUGGUAGACCGGCUGUCGAGCCCGGGUCUGGUACACCGGCUGGUGUGCCUGGGGCUGGUAGACAUCUACAAUUGUUCUUACAUGACAGAUAUCGUAAAUCGAAUUGUAGAUAUUUAUAUUUAAAUUCUGACCAGUCAAAAUGUAAUUAUCAAAAUAGUUUUACAGAUAUCUUCAAUUAACAUUUCAACAAGUCAGCCCUACUGAUUUAAUGUUAAGACCGCUUGCCACACACACACACACACACACACACACACACACACACACACAUACACACACACACACACACACACACACACACACACACACACACACACACACACACACACACACACACACACAUAUCGUGAACCAUGAUAACAGGUCGAACCUCCCCUCUCUGUCCACCGCCUCUCCCUCCCCGCCUCUCGCCCUCCUCUUCCUCCCCUACCCACCUCUCUCCCUCAUCUCCCUCCCCUACCUCUCUCUCGCCCCCUGAAGGAACGAGAGCACGGUGCAGCUCCAGCGUUACUUUGACACAGAAAGCUACUGCCUGGUGCUGCCGCCAAACCUCAAGUCGGCCAUUGCGGCCGUCACCUACAUGAGUGAACAGCUGAAGAAACAGGACACGGAUGACUCGAUCACAGGGGACUGGCAGUACAUAGCCCUGGUGGUGGACCGGCUCUUCUUCUGGCUGUUUGUGGUCAUCACAGGUCUUGGCACCCUGGCAAUGUUCCUGGAUGCCAGCUUCAACUUCACCCCAGACGAGCCCUUCCCAUAGUCCCCAAAAACACACACUUACACACACACACACACACACACACACACACACACACACACACACACACACACGCUUGCAAACACACGCAUACACUCACACACACUAAAUUAUUCACACAAAUGUACACAUGCACACACACACACACACACACACACACACACACACACACACACACACACACACACACACACACACACACACACACACACACACAGUUGGAUAUGAUAAUCAAUUAUUUGCAUUUUUCUAUUCCUCUUCGGUGCUCUUCCAAGGCCACAAAUUCUCACAUUCAGUAUUUAUAUCCCCGCUGGUAUGUUGCCAAAUUGAUGUCAAAAGUAUUGUCUAGGUAAAUCUAAACUGUAGGCAUAGAUGUGGAAAUAAUAAUGAUAAUAAUAAAAAUAAAAAAAGCAUUUAUCUUACGAGUAAAUGAAAAGGUUCUGUUCAAAAAUGUACACAAUUUAAUAGCAAUGUUUUUUACUCCCUCAUGUUACAGAUUAAGACAUUGUUACGAGUACGAUUCUGUUUAUCUCACGCUUGGGGUUUGGACAUCAUCACAUGGAGGUGGGGUGGAAGGAAGGGGGCUACUUUAUGGGCCACCCGGACGGAUGCUUCAUUGGCGUGCGCUGUGCUGACCUCCCUCACUGGAGGCAUGCACCAUGGCACAGUGUAAGGGUGCUGAUGGACCUCUAGGUCCAUCAGCACCCCAAGGGAAAAAACAUGGAGCAAUGAGGACAUUGUAAUACUGACACGGCAGUUUCUGCAUUUGAUAAUUCUUUCAUGUAGACUCUGCCAUUUUCAACUUCUUCCACUCCAAAACAAGUUCAUGGCACCUGUCACACACACGCACACACACAUGCACACACACCCACACACACACACACACACACACACACUCACACACACACACACACACACACACACACACACACACACACACACACACACACACACACACACACACACACACACACACACACACACACACACACACACACACGGACACUCACACACACACACGCACACUUUUAAUCCUGAUUGCAUGAUAUGAGAUGAUUCCCAACCCUAUAGGUUUUUUUUACGCAGACAAUACUUUUUGCAUCAAUUUGACUCCUUACUCUGGUGUCCUUCCAUGUCCGUAAUACCGGUGUUGAUCGGGACAGGCGAGUCUAUCAAUGACUCGAGUCCUCAACCUUACAGGACUCAUUGUGUACAGUACGGAAUUACUUGAUGUGUUGUCUUUAUUUUUGAUUUGAAAGGUUAAAAAAAUACACUUCUUGUGGAAGAUCACA